UACAGAGGGUGCAAGCGUUAAUCGGAAUUACUGGGCGUAAAGCGUGCGUAGGCGGUUAUUUAAGUCAGGUGUGAAAGCCCCGGGCUCAACCUGGGAAUUGCAUUUGAGACUGAAUAGCUAGGGUGCGGUAGAGGGAAGCGGAAUUUCCGGUGUAGCGGUGAAAUGCGUAGAUAUCGGAAGGAACACCAGUGGCGAAGGCGGCUUCCUGGUCCAGCACCGACGUUCAGGCACGAAAGCGUGGGGAGCAAACAGG
rnacentral:rRNA from 1 species